rnacentral:rRNA from 1 species
UACGUAGGGUGCGAGCGUUAAUCGGAAUUACUGGGCGUAAAGCGUGCGCAGGCGGUUUUGUAAGUCAGAUGUGAAAUCCCCGAGCUCAACUUGGGAACUGCGUUUGAAACUACAAGACUAGAAUAUGUCAGAGGGGGGUAGAAUUCCACGUGUAGCAGUGAAAUGCGUAGAGAUGUGGAGGAAUACCAAUGGCGAAGGCAGCCCCCUGGGAUAAUAUUGACGCUCAUGCACGAAAGCGUGGGGAGCAAACGAGGAUACGAA